rnacentral:rRNA from 1 species
UACGUAGGGGGCUAGCGUUGUCCGGAAUCAUUGGGCGUAAAGAGCGUGUAGGCGGCCAGGUAGGUCUGAUGUGAAAACUCGAGGCUCAACCUCGAGACGUCGGCGGAAACCAUCUGGCUAGAGUCCGGAAGAGGAGAGUGGAAUUCCUGGUGUAGCGGUGAAAUGCGCAGAUAUCAGGAAGAACACCCGUGGCGAAGGCGGCUCUCUGGGACGGUACUGACGCUGAGACGCGAAAGCGUGGGGAGCGAACAGG